UACUCCUACGGGAGGCAGCAGUAGGGAAUCUUCCACAAUGGACGAAAGUCUGAUGGAGCAACGCCGCGUGAGUGAAGAAGGUUUUCGGAUUGUAAAACUCUGUUGUUGGAGAAGAAUGUAUCUGAUAGUAACUGAUCAGGUAGUGACGGUAUCCAACCAGAAAGCCACGGCUAACUACGUGCCAGCAGCCGCGGUAAUA
rnacentral:rRNA from 1 species